UGGGGAAUUUUGGACAAUGGGCGAAAGCCUGAUCCAGCAAUGCCGCGUGUGUGAAGAAGGCCUUCGGGUUGUAAAGCACUUUUGUCCGGAAAGAAAUCCUUGGCUCUAAUACAGUCGGGGGAUGACGGUACCGGAAGAAUAAGCACCGGCUAACUACGUGCCAGCAGCCGCGGUAAUACGUAGGGUGCAAGCGUUAAUCGGAAUUACUGGGCGUAAAGCGUGCGCAGGCGGUUUGCUAAGACCGAUGUGAAAUCCCCGGGCUCAACCUGGGAACUGCAUUGGUACUGGGCAGGGCUAGAGUAUGGCAGAGGGGGGUAGAAUUCCACGUGUAGCAGUGAAAUGCGUAGAGAUGUGGAGGAAUACCGAUGGCGAAAGGCAGCCCCCCUGGGCCAAUACUGACGCUCAUGCACGAAAGCGUGGGGAGCAAACAGGAUUAGAUACCCUGGUAGUCCACGCCCUAAACGAUGUCAACUAGUUGUUGGGGAUUCAUUUCCUUAGUAACGUAGCUAACGCGUGAAGUUGACCGCCUGGGGAGUACGGUCGCAAGAUUAAAACUCAAAUGAAUUGAC
rnacentral:rRNA from 1 species